rnacentral:rRNA from 1 species
AAAAAAGGUAAGCUACUAAGAGCGAAUGGUGGAUGCCUUGACUGGUAAAGGCGAUGAAGGACGUACUAGACUGCGAUAAGCUACGGGGAGCUGUCAAGAAGCUUUGAUCCGUAGAUUUCCGAAUGGGGCAACCCAAUGUAUAGAGAUAUACAUUACCUAUAUAGGAGCGAACGAGGGGAAUUGAAACAUCUUAGUACCCUCAGGAAAAGAAAUCAAUAGAGAUUGCGUCAGUAGCGGCGAGCGAAAGCGCAAGAGGGCAAACCCAGUGCUUGCACUGGGGGUUGUAGGACUGCAAUGUGCAAGAGGUGAGUUUAGCAGAACAUUCUGGAAAGUAUAGCCAUAGAGGGUGAUAGUCCCGUAUGCGAAAAACAAACCUUAGCUAGCAGUAUCCUGAGUAGGGCGGGACACGAGAAAUCCUGUCUGAAGCUGGGUCGACCACGAUCCAACCCUAAAUACUAAUACCAGAUCGAUAGUGCACAAGUACCGUGAGGGAAAGGUGAAAAGAACUGAGGUGAUCAGAGUGAAAUAGAACCUGAAACCAUUUGCUUACAAUCAUUCAGAGCCCUAUGUAGCAAUACAGGGUGAUGGACUGCCUUUUGCAUAAUGAGCCUGCGAGUUGUGGUGUCUGGCAAGGUUAAGCAAACGCGAAGCCGUAGCGAAAGCGAGUCUGAAUAGGGCGCUUAGUCAGAUGCUGCAGACCCGAAACGAAGUGAUCUAUCCAUGAGCAAGUUGAAGCUAGUGUAAGAACUAGUGGAGGACUGAACCCAUAGGCGUUGAAAAGCCCCGGGAUGACUUGUGGAUAGGGGUGAAAGGCCAAUCAAACUUCGUGAUAGCUGGUUCUCUCCGAAAUAUAUUUAGGUAUAGCGUUGUGUCGUAAUAUAAGGGGGUAGAGCACUGAAUGGGCUAGGGCAUACACCAAUGUACCAAACCCUAUCAAACUCCGAAUACCUUAUAUGUAAUCACAGCAGUCAGGCGGCGAGUGAUAAAAUCCGUCGUCAAGAGGGAAACAACCCAGACUACCAGCUAAGGUCCCUAAAUCUUACUUAAGUGGAAAACGAUGUGAAGUUACUUAAACAACCAGGAGGUUGGCUUAGAAGCAGCCAUCCUUUAAAGAAAGCGUAAUAGCUCACUGGUCUAGUGAUUUUGCGCGGAAAAUAUAACGGGGCUAAAGUAAGUACCGAAGCUGUAGACUUAGUUUACUAAGUGGUAGGAGAGCGUUCUAUUUGCGUCGAAGGUAUACCGGUAAGGAGUGCUGGAGCGAAUAGAAGUGAGCAUGCAGGCAUGAGUAGCGAUAAUUAAUGUGAGAAUCAUUAACGCCGUAAACCCAA